AUGCAAGUCGAACGAUGACUUUUGUGCUUGCACAGAAUGAUUAGUGGCGAACGGGUGAGUAACACGUGAGUAACCUGCCCCUGACUCUGGGAUAAGCCUGGGAAACUGGGUCUAAUACCGGAUAUGCACCGUGGACCGCAUGGUUUUUGGUGGAAAGAUUUUUUGGUCAGGGAUGGACUCGCGGCCUAUCAGCUUGUUGGUGAGGUAAUGGCUCACCAAGGCGACGACGGGUAGCCGGCCUGAGAGGGUGACCGGCCACACUGGGACUGAGACACGGCCCAUACUCCUACGGGAGGCAGCAGUGGGGAAUAUUGCACAAUGGGCGAAAGCCUGAUGCAGCGACGCCGCGUGAGGGAUGACGGCCUUCGGGUUGUAAACCUCUUUCAGUAGGGAAGAAGCGAAAGUGACGGUACCUGCAGAAGAAGCGCCGGCUAACUACGUGCCAGCAGCCGCGGUAAUACGUAGGGCGCAAGCGUUAUCCGGAAUUAUUGGGCGUAAAGAGCUCGUAGGCGGUUUGUCGCGUCUAUCGUGAAAGUCCGAGGCUCAACCUCGGAUCUGCGGUGGGUACGGGCAGACUAGAGUGAUGUAGGGGAGACUGGAAUUCCUGGU
rnacentral:rRNA from 1 species